UGUAAAAGUAAAUUUUAAAACUAAAUUAUUAGUAGAUAUGUUCUUUAAAGUUAAAGAAUUUGGCGGUAUUUUAGUCUAUUCAGAGGAACCUGUUCUGUAAUUGAUGGUCCACGAUUUAUUUAACUUGAGUUUUUAGUUUAUAUACCGUCGUAGUUUGAAUAUUUUUAAAGAAUAGUAAUAUUCAAUAUUUUUUAUGAAAAUGGAAAUCAGAUCAAGGUGUAGCUUAUGGUCAAGAAGAAAUGGGUUACAAUAAAUUUAUUUAUAUGGUUUAUAUUUUUUAAAAAAAAUUAUUAAAGUGGAUUUGAAAGUAAUAAAAUUAAAUUUAAUUUUAUGAUUUUAGCUCUAAAAUAUGU
rnacentral:rRNA from 1 species